UCCGCCCUCCGCGGCCCCUCUCCCCGUCGCUUGCUCUCUGCCCUCCUCCCUUCCCUUCCCUUCCCUCCUCGCGCCUCCACGGUCGCGUCGUCCUAGACACUCCAAUCGAUUCCCCCGACAACCUCCUUCUCGUCCUCCUCACGUCUGUGCUCCGCUGUAGCUUCUGCCUGUCUCUUAUUGCGCAGAAGGGGGUCGAGAUCCGGCGCCGAGGCAUGGCGAGAAAGCAGCGGGAGAAGGCGGAGCAUGAUACUGAGGUGGCCGCCGUCAACGAGUCCUUCCUCGUCAGGAGCCACCGACCCGCUGGCUCCCGCGGAGGACGACGGCACUCCUGAGGCUAGAGCAGCACUCCUUCAACAUUUUCCUCAUGGAUUCUGUUAUCAUGGUAUGCGAAUGCGAUGCUCUGUACGGUCACCUUGACUGUGCCAGGUUCUUCAUGCUCGAGACGAUUGCUGGGCUGACGUAUUUCGGUGAGGGUAUAAUGUUACCUGGCUGUUCGCACAGAUGAAAAUAAGUGUGUGUAUAAUGUUGUGCAAAGUCAAAAGCAUGGCAAUUAUCUAUGAUUGCUUUUUUUAAGAAAAUUCUAUGAAUGAAAUUGACACAGAAGCAGAAUGCAGAAGUA